UGUUGGCCCUAUCGAAGCCGAUUUAGUCUCCAUGUGGCUGAAUCGGUCAAACUGGUGCCUAUAGAGAAAUCUUUUACCGACGGUCGCUGUUCAGCUUUAUUGUAGCUGAUCAGCAACAUUUUAGGAAAAGAACAAUU